GGUAGCGAUGGCGGAAAGGUCACACCUGUUCCCAUACCGAACACAGAAGUUAAGCUUUCCAGCGCCGAUGGUAGUUGGGGUUACCCCCUGCGAGAGUAGGACGCCGCCAG
rnacentral:rRNA from 1 species